rnacentral:rRNA from 1 species
CACGAACGCUGGCGGCAGGCUUAACACAUGCAAGUCGAGCGCUCCGCAAGGGGAGCGGCAGACGGGUGAGUAACGCGUGGAAUCUACCCAUCUCUACGGAAUAACGCAUGGAAACGUGUGCUAAUACCGUAUACGUCCUUCGGGAGCAAGAUUUAUCGGAGAUGGAUGAGCCCGCGUUGGAUUAGCUAGUUGGUGGGGUAAAGGCCUACCAAGGCGACGAUCCAUAGCUGGUCUGAGAGGAUGAUCAGCCACACUGGGACUGAGACACGGCCCAGACUCCUACGGGAGGCAGCAGUGGGGAAUAUUGGACAAUGGGCGCAAGCUUGAUCCAGCCAUGCCGCGUGAGUGAUGAAGGCCCUAGGGUUGUAAAGCUCUUUCACCGGUGAAGAUAAUGACGGUAACCGGAGAAGAAGCCCCGGCUAACUUCGUGCCAGCCGCCGCGGUAAGAC